rnacentral:piRNA from 1 species
UAGGCCAUUACCCGGGUUUUAAAGACAGG